rnacentral:rRNA from 1 species
UACGUGAAACCGUUCAGGGGUAAACCUGAGAAACCCAAAAGAUCGAAUGGGGAGAUUCAUCGUCAGCCGCUUUGGCUUACGUGUGGUUUCGCGAUGAUCGGGACUUCGGUUCCGUGUCACGCAAUCGCUGCGUUCAUGUCCGGAGCGGUCGGCGUGCACUUCUCCCCUAGUAGGACGUCGCGAUUCGCUGGGUGUCGGUUUACGGACCGGUAGGUCGUCUGACAAGUUACGUUCACGCGUGCACUAGUCAGACCUCUGGUUUCCCAACCGGCUGCCCGGCGAUAUAAAACGAUAAUCAAUGGUAUUGGGCCGCAUCGAAUGCGUUCAGGCUCGUCGGCAGGUACGCCUCGCUCGGAUUUACGGACCUAGCGCCGUUGCCGGGUGCUUGGCGUGUCGUUCGCCGACGAUGUCCUCGGACUGGCUCUUUAUAUUCUUUACGAAUAUACCGAUCGGCGACGCUACUGCUUUGGGUACUUUCAGGACCCGUCUUGAAACACGGACCAA